CCUAAAGCAUCCGUAGCCGGCUCUGUAAGUUUUCGGUUAAAUCUGUACGCUCAACGUACAGGCUGCCGGGAAUACUGCAGAGCUAGGGAGUGGGAGAGGUAGACGGUACUCGGGAGGAAGUGGUAAAAUGCUUUGAUCUCUCGAUGACCACCUGUGGCGAAGGCGGUCUACCAGAACACGUCCGACGGUGAGGGAUGAACGCUGGGGGAGCAAACCGGAUUAGAUACCCGGGUAGUCCCAGCUGUAAACUAUGCAAACUCAGUGAUGCAUUGGCUUGUGGCCAAUGCAGUGUUGCAGGGAAGCCGUUAAGUUUGCCGCCUGGGAAGUACGUACGCAAGUAUGAAACUUAAAGGAAUUGGUGGGGGAGCACCACAAGGGGUGAAGCCUGCGGUUCAAUUGGAGUCAACNCCAGAAAUCUUACCCGGAGAGACAGCAGAAUGAAGGUCAAGCUGAAGACUUUACCAGACAAGCUGAGAGGUGGUGCAUGGCCGCCGCCAGCUCGUGCCGUGAGAUGUCCUGUUAAGUCAGGUAACGAGCGAGAUCCCUNCCUCUAGUUGCCACCAUUACUAUUAGCGGGACCGCCGCAGUUAAUGCGGAGGAGGAAGGGGCCACGGCAGGUCAGUAUGCCCCGAAACUCUGGGGCCACACGCGGGCUGCAAUGGUAAUGACAAUGAGUUCCGAAACCGAAAGGUGGAGGUAAUCUUCAAACGCUAUCACAGUUAUGAUUGAGGGCUGCAACUCGCCCUCAUGAAUAUGGAAUCCCUAGUAACUGCGUGUCAUUACCGCGCGGUGAAUACGUCCCUGCUCCUU
rnacentral:rRNA from 1 species